ACCCAUUCAGACUCUUCUCGUCACAAGCUUUCCAACGGCAUUAGUUUCGUGGCGAUCAGACUCGUUCGAAAAUCGACGGUCGAUAUCGUCUGUAAAUAUUUUCGGAUGAUUGGGGAUCGGAUCGGAAGAUUGGAAGCAUGGAUUGUUAUCAGCGCGUCAUUUCGAGUCCGUUGGUGCAUUCAGAUCGUUGAUCGGACUCCGACGGCUGGCGACGAGUCGACCGAGCUAUCAAGUGCCUCGAAAAUCCGUCAAUUCGGCUUGCUCCAGCCGAGGCAUCGGAGCAGAGCUAGGAGGUCGUCAAAGCUUCUUUCCGCGGCUCUCACCUAGCAACCCGAUUCCUUCAUCAUCGGUUGAUGAAAUUCGUUUGCACGAUUAAGGACUGAUACACCUGUGGAAGGACAAAGCCUAGAAUUAGUGUUUUUAUUGGUCAUAACAGGAAACGUAAUUGUAUAUGUAAACCAACAAACCAUUCCGUAACUCAAAAUUUAGGCAAAGGCUUCUCUUA